AAUAUAUGUGAAGAUUUUUAAAAAAGCUUUAUUCAGUAUUUAAUUUUAAAUUAUUAAGUUGACUUAAAUUUAGAAAUUUAAGUAUUUAUAAACAAAUAAUGUGCCAGCAGUAGCGGUUAAACAUUAUAUAAAAAUUAAUUUUAAAGAACAAAUAAAAUAUAAUUAAAAUUUUAUAAUUAAAUUUAUAAAGUGAAAUUUAAAAUUUAGUUUUUUAUUAAUUUAAUGUUUGAUUUUUAAAAAUCUUUUGAUUAAACUAGGAUUAGAUACCCUAUUAUUAAAGAUGUAAUUUUAAAUUCUAAACUAUUAAAAUUAAUGAUUUUAAAAUUUAAAGUUUUGGCAGUAUUUUAAUCUAUUCAGAGGAACCUGUUUUUUAAUUGAUAAUCCACAUUUAAUUUUACUUAAGUUUUUAAUUUAUAUAUCAUCGUUAAAAAAAUUUUAAAAGAUAAUUUUUUUUAUAUUUUUAUUAAAUAAAAAUUCAGAUCAAGAUAUAGUUUAUAUUUAAGAUUUAAUGGGUUACAUUAUAUUUAUAUUUAGAAAUAAUUUUUAAAAAGUUAUUGAAAACGGAUUUGAAAGUAAUUUUUAAAAAUUUUUAAAAUAAAUGAGUUCUAAAAUAUGUACAUAUUGCCCGUCGCUUUUUCUUUAAAGAAAAAUAAGUCGUAACAAAGUAGAUUUACUGGAAAGUGAAUCUAGAAUAAU
rnacentral:ncRNA from 1 species